rnacentral:lncRNA from 12 species
AUGAAGAAGGCUCCAGAGCAGCACAGGAUGAAGAAGGCUCCAGAGCAGCACAGGACGACCGCCUCGGUGUUGACUGUUGUGACCAUAGUGGUCACGGUGGUGGCAGUGGUGUUGGCGAAGAGGACGGUGAUAGCGGAUGUGGGGAUGGCCCAGGAGGGGUUUGUGAUGGUGGCAAAGGCGGUGGCGCACAAGUUGGUGAAGACUUUGGUGGACAGUAUGGCAGCUACCAAGGAAGAGAGGAUGACGGCUGCUGAUGCAGAAAGGACGACGACAGUAGAGGAGAAAUCGUGGGUGACAAGGGUUAUGGAGAUGUGCCUGGAGAUGGCGAUGCGGAAGACAAUCGAAGGGUUGGUGCAGAAAGUGACAGCAGUGCUGGGGGAGAUGACAGUGGAGCAGAUAACUGUGGCAUCGGCAGUGCUGCCGGUGGUGGCAGCGGUGGUGGCCAUGGCACUAAGGUUCGUCAAGGAACCCGUCCAAGAAGAAGCCAUCAUGAUGGUGCUCUGCUCCAUCGCUGAGGAGAGGAAGAAGAGAGCUAAUGAGAAGGGCGCAAGUUUUUGGGCUUUCUUUGUAGGUCUGUUCAGAGCCCAAUCCAAAGAAACUGUUGAGGAGAAGGCUUGGAGUCCUUUAGAUGCAUGGAUUAGCAGACUCUCGAAGUCAGUUCCUCAGGCCCUAAUGGAGCUGCCAGCUGAUAAGAAGCAAAAGCUCUUGAAUGAAUGUAAGGGCAUCAUCAGGGAUCUGAAGUACACAGAUGACAAGAUGCUGAACAGACUGGUCAUGGGUAGUGAGGACCUGAAGCAGCAGCUGAUGUGGAAGCUGAAAAAGUACCUCAACGAAUAAACUUCA